rnacentral:misc_RNA from 1 species
AGGUCGUAACAAGGUUUCCGUAGGUGAACCUGCGGAAGGAUCAUUAACACGUAUCCAAACGUUAAAACCCCCCCCGUGAACCUUCAUCCUGCUCUUGUAACCCGCGUAGUUCGCAAUCUCUGAUAAAUCAUAGCCCGGAAAGUUGUAGUGAUUCAGAGAUGUCUGGCUACGUGCGAACAUUGGAACAGUGACAAUCGAGCGGUAGUUCUAUAGGCAAGGUUUCCCCAAGCAGUGUCGGAAAGUGUCAUUGAUUGUGCAAGGAUAGCGCUUCUACAACCCCACAGUUUAAUGUGAAGCUCAAUGCAAUACAUUGGGAAAAAAAACCGAACAACUGUUAACAAUGGAUAUCUUGGUUCUC